UGACCGCACUACCCCCGUAUAGGGACGGC
rnacentral:sRNA from 1 species